AGUGAACGCUGGCGGCGUGCCUAAUACAUGCAAGUCGAACGGAAUUUAAAAGAGCUUGCUCUUUUAAAUUUAGUGGCGCACGGGUGAGUAAUAUAUAGCUAAUCUGCCCCUUGCUGGAGGACAACAGUUAGAAAUGACUGCUAAUACUCCAUACUCCUUUUUACCAUAAGAUAAAUCGGGAAAGAAUUUCGGCAAGGGAUGAGACUAUAUCGUAUCAGCUAGUCGGUGGGGUAACGGCCUACCGAGGCUAUGACGCGUAACUGGUCUGAGGGGAUGAUCAGUCACAUUGGAACUGAGACACGGUCCAAACUCCUACGGGAGGCAGCAGUAGGGAAUAUUGCGCAAUGGGGGAAACCCUGACGCAGCAACGCCGCGUGGAGGAUGACACUUUUCGGAGCGUAAACUCCUUUUGUUAGGGAAGAAUAAUGACGGACCUAACGAAUAAG
rnacentral:rRNA from 1 species